GAUACCACACUCUAUCUUCUUUGCCACUUUGUAAAGCGUUCAGGACCUUGUACCAGGUUUUACCUUGUACCAGGUGGAAAAGUGUUUUCCUCAUUCUUAUUCUCUAGGGGCCAUUACCGGUUUCACGUUUCCCUCAUUCUUAUUCUCUAGGGGCCAUUACCGGUUUCACGUUUCCCUCAUUCUUAUUCUCUAGGGGCCAUUACCGGUUUCACGUUUCCCUCAUUCUUAUUCUCUAGGGGCCAUUACCGGUUUCACGUUUCCCUCAUUUUUAUUCUCUAGGGGCCAUUACUGGUUUCACGUUUCCCUCAUUUUUAUUCUCUAGGGGCCAUUACCUGUUUCACAUUUCCUUUUUUCCUGUAUGCAUCAUCCUGUGAAGAAGCUGGCAGAGCUCCUUGAUACUUGGGUCAUGGAAUCUGCCUAAUGUCCCCUUUAAAACUGGUUCCUCGUUUAACUUCCAUGUAGUCUGCUCUUACUUGGAUUGCAUCAGUGCUGUAACUGGGUUUGCAGCAUCAGCUUUGUGGUGUUGACAUUGUGGAUGAUUCACACUGAAUCAUCCUGAAAUAAUCCAGCUUUAUAGUGUAUAAGUAGUGCAGUCAAGUUUUCGGCAGUGUUGUUGCCAGGAGAUACCAACUUUGUGUCCUAGGGGGCUUCAUUAGGAGAUGUCAUGGCAAUCCUGCCUUUCCUUCAGAACUGCAUGGGUAAAGCCAGUUCUCCAGAUAUGUACUAGCUAUGAGAUCCAUC